GACCACGUAGCUCAGUUGGAAGAGCAUUGGGCUAGUAUUCCAAAGGUCGUAGGUUCGAAUCCCACCAUGGCCG